CUCGCGAGAAUGUUGUUGAGACAGAUCCACAUCUCAAAAUUUAGAUAAAGUUGAUUUUCUCCUUAUAUGUCCAUCUGAAAAUAGCCAUUUUUGGCUAUGUGUAACUUUCAAAGGAAGGCAAUUCAGAAAAGUCACGCCUUCUAUCAGACAGCGGCGGACAUGACGCGUUGUUUGCCAUCAACGUCAGAAGAAGAAGAAGCGGGAAAACAGUAGGUGGCGUAAUAUUUUAACAUUGUGUGCGCCAACCUCGAACUAAAACGAGGAAGAAGAAGAAAGCGAAGAAGAAAGAGAAGAAGAAGCGGGAAAGUUUUUGGAAACGACGACCGCAACGCUUGCGACAGAAGAUUUGGAGAGGAUGGACAAAAAGAAAAUUACAACAAAAAAGAGGUUAAGAGUUCCCACAAAGAAAAUGAAGGACCUGCAUAAUUCUCCUCCCCCAAGUGAGCAAUCUGGUAAGUCUCUAUGUAUGUGUGGCCAAGCGGACUACGGAUAAAACAAAUUGCAGUGUAACAUGUAGCUAACAAACUGGAAACAGGACUUUAUUAGUUUGUUUAGUAUUUAAAGAACAGCUGAGAAUGCCACCUUGGGAAAGUCGCCCCAAGGAAGUUAGGUAACAGUACCCUAAUUGUAAUGAGGCCACACACCUCUAAGACAGCGAUGGGCAAGCUCAUCCUACUGCAUAUGCUUUAAAAUGCAUAUAGGGAUGGGGAGAGGAAAUAAUCAUAACAUUGUUGUCCAAAUGAGGUGACAAAUACCAGUCCAAAUUUGUAUACUGAAAUAAAACAUUUUAAACACUUUCUCUUUUGCACUCUCUCUUUCAGGGUGUUUGGCAUUCGUCAGAUGGGAGGACGGUUAUACCGGCAAAAUCUUUAGACAUUUUGUCAAGAUAUGAAGCUCCUGUGCAGAUCUUAGAUCUUAGAACAGGAGAUUCUGUUUUAGCAAAGUGGUCAGAUGGUAAAUUGUAUAGGGCAACUGUUGAAUGUAUUUCAGGAAAAGAUCAGACUAAGUCACCAAAAGGCUGCCAAACUCCGCAGGAGUCAUUUUUAAAUAUGUUGGAAGCCAAUGAGCCAUCACACUCAACAUCAGGGUCUGACACCAUUACAGUAGAUCGGAACCCACUGUCUGAACAUGAUAGUAUCACAGCGCUGAAUCUAUCAAGUGACGGGGCACUUGUAACAGGCAGCAACACUGUUGGACCACCACCACCCUAUGGGUUUACCAAAGAGGGAACCAUCGGUCCAUCACCCUACAGCGGCAAUACAGCCAUACCAUCACCGUAUGGCCUCCACGUCAAUUGUCAAUUUCUCUAUGGGGGCCAUACAUCUAGCCUACCACCGUAUGGCCUCAGCAUCAAAGGUCCAUCUCCCUACGAAGACCAUGCAUCCUGCCCAUCACUGCAUGACUUCAACACUGCUGGCCCAUCACCAAAUGUCUACAUUACCUCUGAUCCUUCACCCGGCGUACACACCCCGCUAGCUGGCAAGCUAGCUGGGUUAAUCCACCUGACAAAAAAAACCCAGCUUUCCUGGCACCGGACAGGAGAGAUGCAGGCAACCCAUCUGUCGAGGACACUAUCUCAUAUCGACCGCAGGCAGAAAAAUCAUGGACGCCAUGUGAUGGAUGUAGGAAGGAGUUCGAAAAAAUCCUGCGAGAAAAGCAACGAAUCGAAGUAGUCCUCUUGA